rnacentral:lncRNA from 1 species
AAAAAAGGAGAGAGGGGGGAGCCGAGCGAUUUUCGGCCAGAGGGUGGCACCGGCGCCGGCGCCGGCCACCGUGUAAAAAAAAAUCUAUUUUUUUUAUUUUUUGUAUUUAUUUAAUAUAUAUGUAUAUGUAUUACUUUUAUUAGAUUAGAAAUAAUAUAUGCAAACUCGAAAAAAGCAAAAAAAUAAAGAAGAGUGAAUAGACCUUUAAUGCGGUUUUUUUGAUGUAUUUUGCUGCGAUUUCUUUGAGUUAACAGUGAAUCUGUUUUUAUUGAUAAGAGAUUUUUUGUAUUUUUUUGCUAAUGAGAUCCCCCUUUUUACAUGAUAAAUUCGGCUUUUAUAGCCGUUUGUCGCACUGUCUGUUCUCUUUUGCUGCUAUUGCGUGUUUGUCUCUUUUUUUGUCUUGCAGGAGUAGUUGAAUUGUGCUGCAGAGUGGAUGGCCAUGGCAGGCGUCGGUGGUGGAUGGGACGUUGCGGCGCUGAGCAGGUUUAAGGUUUCAAAAGCUGAAACCCUAAGUCAGAAUCUGGGUCAAGGAUUUGGGCCUCAUGUGUUUGGGCUAGGGUUAGUUGGGUAGUGGGUCUAUUGUUGGGCUCUGGGUCUUUGAUGGGUUAGUGAGCUGUUAGUUUAGUGGGUUAGGUGUUGGGUAAGGGUUUAAUGGGCUGAUAGGUAUUGGGUUAGUUGAUUAGGUUUUAGUUAUUGGGUUGUCUGUAAUGGGUUGAAUGGGUUAAGGUUGGGUUAAUUUUUGUUGUAUCGGGUCUGAUGGAAUGUAAGUGGGCUAGGGGUAUUUGGGUAAAAAAUUGGCUUGUAACGCUUAACAAUUGAAAAACAUUAUUUAAGAAUCAAACACAAGACUAAUAAAUUCAUAGGAAAAACUUUUAUCAUUCCACUAACAAUCAUUUAUUAAUAUAUUUAUAUAAAUAUAUUUUUUAAUAUAAAAUAUUUUCUUUCACAC